ACGGCUCAGUAACACGUAGUCAACAUAACCAAAGGACGUGGAUAAACUCGGGAAACUGAGGCUAAACCGCGAUAGAUCAAGAUACCUGGAAUGGUUUUUGAUCAAAAUCUAUAUGGCCUUUGGAUUGGACUGCGUCCGAUCAGGCUGUUGGUGAGGUAAUGGCCCACCAAGCCUAUAACCGGUGCGGGCCGUGAGAGCGGGAGCCCGGAGAUGGGCACUGAGACAAGGGCCCAGGUCCUACGGGGCGCAGCAGUCGCGAAACCUUUGCAAUACACGCAAGUGUGACAGGGUCAUCCCGAGUGCCGACCGCUGAGGUUGGCUUUUACCCAGUCUAGAAAGCUGGGGGAAUAAGGAGAGGGCAAGUCUGGUGUCAGCCGCCGCGGUAAUACCAGCUCUCCGAGUGGUGUGGACGUUUAUUGGGCCUAAAGCAUCCGUAGCUGGCUGAACAAGUCCCCUGUUAAACCCACCGAUUUAAUCGUUGGCUUGCGGGGGAUACUGCUCGGCUAGGGGACGAGAGAGGCAGACGGUAUUCCCGGGGUAGGGGUGAAAUCCUAUAAUCCCGAGAAGACCACCAGUGGCGAAGGCUGUCUGCUAGAACGCGCCCGACGGUGAGGGAUGAAAGCUGGGGGAGCGAACCGGAUUAGAUACCCGGGUAGUCCCAGCUGUAAACGAUGCAGACUAGGUGUUUGGACGGCCACGUGCCGUUCUAGUGCCGCAGGGAAGCUGUUAAGUCUGCCGCCUGGGGAGUACGAUCGCAAGAUUGAAACUUAAAGGAAUUGGCGGGGGAG
rnacentral:rRNA from 1 species